UUCUGCUGGAGCCUCAAGUCCUUUACACGCAGCCUGUGGACAGAAGCAGACCUCUGUAGCGUUCAGCAGUUUGCUCUUCAAAUAUUACAAAAUGGCUGCAAGAAAAAGGCCGAAGUUUAGCAGUUUUCUGACGCCGAGUGUUUCCAAGAAGCCCAACCGCUGAGCAGUGGAACAAUCGAGGCAGAUUUGGAUGACGAUUGCAGAGACUCGAGAAUGGAUAGCGCCGUGUUUAGCAGACUGAAGAUUCAGUCACUGCCUGAAUUCAAUCCAAGGACAAUGUGAUAAUCCUGAGAUCAAAGCGAGUGUGGGACAGCUGGUAACAAUGAUGAUUUGAGCCGACUUAAGAUCUGCUGGGAUUCAGAUGAACGUUCUCAUUGAGCAGCUGGGAUGAGAGCAGUUGAUUGAUGACUCGAGAAAGAAGACAGCAGUCCUGCUGGUGACAGAUGGUGUCCUGGUUUCUUUAAUGGUGUCCCAACACCUUUUUUUUUUUUUUUAUUGCUGCCUCCUACGAGCUGACAGAACAAACCUGAGCGAGGCCACUUCCAGUUGAUGGGACCAAGAAUGUAUUUUGUCAUGUUGUAUUUGCUGAAUAAACAGUAACUGUUUUCAGAA